UGCAAGUCGAGCGGUAGCACAAGGGAGCUUGCUCCCUGGGUGACGAGCGGCGGACGGGUGAGUAAUGUCUGGGAAACUGCCUGAUGGAGGGGGAUAACUACUGGAAACGGUAGCUAAUACCGCAUAACGUCGCAAGACCAAAGAGGGGGACCUUCGGGCCUCUUGCCAUCAGAUGUGCCCAGAUGGGAUUAGCUAGUAGGUGGGGUAAUGGCUCACCUAGGCGACGAUCCCUAGCUGGUCUGAGAGGAUGACCAGCCACACUGGAACUGAGACACGGUCCAGACUCCUACGGGAGGCAGCAGUGGGGAAUAUUGCACAAUGGGCGCAAGCCUGAUGCAGCCAUGCCGCGUGUGUGAAGAAGGCCUUCGGGUUGUAAAGCACUUUCAGCGAGGAGGAAGGUGGUGAGCUUAAUACGUUCAUCAAUUGACGUUACUCGCAGAAGAAGCACCGGCUAACUCCGUGCCAGCAGCCGCGGUAAUACGGAGGGUGCAAGCGUUAAUCGGAAUUACUGGGCGUAAAGCGCACGCAGGCGGUUUGUUAAGUCAGAUGUGAAAUCCCCGGGCUCAACCUGGGAACUGCAUUUGAAACUGGCAAGCUAGAGUCUCGUAGAGGGGGGUAGAAUUCCAGGUGUAGCGGUGAAAUGCGUAGAGAUCUGGAGGAAUACCGGUGGCGAGGCGGCCCCCUGGACGAAGACUGACGCUCAAGUGCGAAAGCGUGGGGAGCAAACAGGAUUAGAUACUCUGGUAGUCCACGCUGUAAACGAUGUCGAUUUUGGAGGUUGUGCCCUUGAGGCGUGGCCUUUCGGGAGCUAACGCGUUAAAU
rnacentral:rRNA from 1 species